rnacentral:lncRNA from 1 species
UCUUCACUAUCAAUACCCAAAUUAAAAUAUAUUUUAUCAACCAUUCGUGAUGCACCUUCAUCUUUGUAAUGUGGGUUUAACAAACAAGCAGUUAAAUAAAUUUGAGGAAUAGGAAUAAAAUAUUUUUAAAAUUUUUCAAUCAUUUUCUUAACAGAUUCUUCAAAUCUUGAUUUAUUUUUGAAUUUAUAAAAUUUACUAGAAAUAACACAAAUAUUAGGUA